rnacentral:rRNA from 1 species
CUUCCCAAGGCAACGAUCAUUAGGGGUUCUGAGAGGAAGGUCCCCCACACUGGAACUGAGACACGGUCCAGACUCCUACGGGAGGCAGCAGUGAGGAAUAUUGGUCAAUGGGCGAUAGCCUGAACCAGCCACGUCGCGUGCAGGAAGACUGUCUUAUGGAUUGUAAACUGCUUUUUCGGUAGAGUAAAAUACGUCACGUGUGACGUAUUGCAAGUAUACCGUGAAUAAGGAUCGGCUAACUCCGUGCCAGCAGCCGCGGUAAUACGGAGGAUCCGAGCGUUAUCCGGAUUUAUUGGGUUUAAAGGGUACGUAGGCGGGACGUUUAAGUCAGCGGUGAAAUUUCGGAGCUUAACUUUGAGCUUGCCGUUGAAACUAUCGUUCUUGAGUUUAGAUGAGGUAGGCGGAAUGUGUUGUGUAGCGGUGAAAUGCAUAGAUAUAACACAGAACCCCGAUUGCGAAGGCAGCUUACCGGGCUAACACUGACGCUGAGGUACGACAGCGUGGGGAUCAAACAGGAUUAGAUACCCUGGUAGUCCACGCCGUAAACUAUGAAUACUCGCUGUUUGCGAUAUAGGGCAAGCGGCCAAGCGAAAGC